CAGCGCUGUUUCCACCGACAAGAGGAGGAUGAGAGGGUUGGGUGGAGGUAGAGGAGAAACAGAAAGAGAGGGAAGAGGUAGAGGGGUGGGUGGGCAAAGAGACAGAGAAGGGGAGGAUGGUGGCGGUGGGGUGAUGGAGGAGAGGCGGUGGGUGGGAGGGGGAGCACAAAUCACGUCACAUCAUUGUUACUCACCAGCCCAAGGGCAGCAACAAAGGGAGGCAUGCCGUCCUGUCUCCGGUACUGUACAGAGCCGGCCCCGCUUCCUCUCUCCGAGGAGAGAGAAAGACGGGGGAGAGAGCAACGAGUGCAACCCCCGUCACCGCUCAUCCUCCCCACACACACACACACACACACACACACACCAUAAAACACUCACUCACAGACUUACAAAAAAAAAAAAAAGAACAAAACUUCAGACAGCAAUAACACUCAAAAACAAACCAGAAACCUGACAAAAAAAGCGGGUAAAAAUAAAAGUUGGCCUCAUGCGGCAGCUGCGGCACCAGUAGUCAGUCACAUUUUCCUGCUCAGCUCGCCUCUACACACACACACACACACACUCGGCUUACUCUCCCGCUCUACGCUCUCUCUCACUCGCUCACAUCGGUGAACUCGUUCACCUCCCCUGCAGUGCCUCCUCUGCCGCUGCAGCGAGGAGAAAUGAAUGACUUCUCAGAACUCUCCCAUUUAUCAUAGGCGGUUCCUGUAAGAACUGGUUUCAGCCAAUUAAUGAGGAAGUGAGUCGUACCCGAGCCGCGCCGCCACUGGCUGAGACCCGGGGGGGCCGGCCCACUGGGGGAGGGCCGCUGCUGUAAGACAGCCCAUAUUAGGAAACCCUUUACAAAAUGUAGUCAUCGACUACAAGCAUUCUGCUUCGCCCCCCUCCCUCUACCCCACCAUCCCUUUCCUUGCCCUCUUACACACGCUUAAGAAAAAAAAAAAAAAAAAAAAAAAAAAAGUGAGACUGCAGAGAAUGGCCUAGAAUAGCGAAUCAGUGGCCCAUCCCUGAGUUGGAGUUAGUGAUUAAUCUCUAAACAAAUACACACUAAAGACCUCCACUAAUUUUCUUUUAUGGAUGCAACACUCCCCCCCCCCAGCCCUGAGGUUUCAGACCAAUGCAUUCCUCCUUUUCCACGUAUGCAUCUUUUUUUUUUUUUUUUUUUGUUCUGUUCGCAUGGGGCAGCCACCAUCAAAGCUCCGAGGCACAUCAAAGAUUUUAGGGCAGCGCUUUGCGUGGGCAGCCGUGUCACAUACGGUUGGGUUUAUAGCUGAUAACUUUCUCUCAAGGAGGCAAGUCAUUUCCGUUCCUCCCCAUCCCACACACACACACACACACACACACGCACGUGUACACACACCUAUCUUACGGUGAGAAAAGAAACACUUUGUGUUAAAUGAAUGUGUUUACGACGAGGAGUUCCCUUAAUGAUUAACUUUAUUACAGGUAGUUCACAUCCGACUUGUAGAGGAACAUGAAACAGAACUCAUUGGAUUGGACUCUGGUGUAUUUUAUGUUAAGAACCUCAUGGCAAAAAAAAAAAAAAAGAAAGUUUGUUUUUUUUGGAGGGAAAAACUAGCCUUCAAAUUCCCAUCCCCCCCAAUUUGAGCAAAUUCCCAACACGUACACACAUAACUUAAAAUAAAGAAUUUGGAUCUGAAGAAAACCCUAAUAUCAGUGUGACUAGAUGGAAAGUUUCUGAAGAUAUACAUUCAUUCGGCGUGUAAAAGUACAGAGGUAAGAACAAAGAGAGAAGAAGAGUUUUCAGAAAUGGCGGGCGAAUCAUCUCCUACACGAUGAGCAACACUGAGUCACGAACAGAGCAAAUCCACCAACAAAGAAGCUCAAAGCUUACAGUCUGCUGCAGAAAACACAACCACACAGUCCACGGCUCUCUGCUUUCUAUGUCUGGUCAUUUUUCUAUUUUUGGGAAUAUACAUUUAUUUUUCUCCUAACAGGGUUCGUGGAUAUUGCUGGAUUCAGGAAUUCCUCUUGUAGGUGUGUUGAGAAUUUAUCUGUGAGUACAUGUGCCGAACAUCUUUCUGUGGCGAAGGAGAUCUUAAUGGUCCAAGACGAAGUUAUUCUUCUGUUAGAUGGGAUUAAAACACUGUUUCUUUUUAAGUACAGAGCAAAAACUGUAAACACAGUUUUGUUUUUUUUUUUUUCUUGUUCAGUAAACUGUUGGAAAAUGUAACAAUAAUUAUUUCCAGGAGAUUUUUUGGGACGAGGAAGAGUAGAGCCAUGUUUAUUUAAAAAUGUAAAACAGCAACAAAAUGUCUUAUGUGUCAAGCAGAAACCAAAUCAGUACAACUUAUCAACUGAUUUGAGUAGAGGAAACUCUGCAUAGGUAAAAAGAGGAAUAAGGAAAAUCAUGGUGAAAAUUUCUGAAAAACUAUAAAUCCUCCUUUAGAACUGAAACUGUGUUUCAAUUCUGUGUUGAGUAAAAUGUGAUGCUUUUAGUAUUCUUUUAAUUUCAUACUUGCUGUAAAUGCUAUGAAAUUCAAAGUUUUCCGACUGAAAGUAAAGAUCACACCCAUAACAAGUGUAUUUAAUAAGGUGGGACAAAAUUGUUCAGCAUGUGCCAUAAAGUUGUGCCCCACUUUUGGGUCCGUCACCGACAAACUAAGUUGACUAUUUUGUGAUUUUGUGAAAUAUAUUAAUAACAACACAAAUAAAUGAUGCAUGUUGGUGUUUGGUGCACAUGAUAAUCCUUUGAGUGCUUGCGACAAUAUAAAAAUUAUUGACAUUUUUUUAUCAAUCACAAACAACAAAAGAAUAAUAAACUAAAAUAAUUUGGAGUGUGUGUGGGUGUGUGUUUGUUACUCGCUUCAGAAUGCUGCAGAUAAGGAAUGAAGAAAAGCAGAAAUAAUAAAAGCAAGGAAAAUUUAAAGAGGCUGUAAAUGUUUUAUUGAAAAACUGCAACACUUCCCACAUUUAGAUCCUCUGAAAUAUUUAACAAGUUAAAUUAUUUUAACUACCCAGAAAAAUAUAUAUAUAUUUGUGUGGGUGUGUGUGUGUGUGUGUGUGUGUAAAGUCUAUUUUAAAUUUUACAUUUUUCAUUCAUGUCACAAAAUCACAUUGUAUUUUUUUUUACAAUUAAUUUUUGCAAAAAGCCAAAAGUUGUUUGAAGAGUUACUGCUAAAAAUAAAAAAAAAUAGCAUUUAUUGUAAAAAGUAAUUUAUGUUUUUUUCUGCCUGAAGCUGAUUUUGUACAUAAAAUUCUUUCAUCAGAGGGAUUUGAAUACAUUUCUUUGCAAACUGAAAGGUGACAUAAUGAAAUAAAUCAGAUACUCAAACUUAAUGCCUUUGUUGUCGUUUCUUUUCAUACGUAGAUGCAAACAUAGAUUUUUUUUUUAAGUGUAGGAUUAGAUUUUAAUGUAUUUAACCACAGAAAUUUAAAGGGAACCAGAACGUGCGUCACUUACGGUCCAUUCACACCCUAUUUUCUUUCUUUGCUUUCCUCUAAACAAGGUAAUACCGCCUCAUUUGAGAGUGCAGUCAGAAGAACCCUGCUCUAUUUGAUCAACACUUUUUGAACAUGAACUGAUCUCAUCCUGAGAUCCAGGAGAAACCAAAGCCCUGCCAUCUUCCUAUAGUACCACCAACACAAUCCCUUUUCCUGCUUUCCCUCCCAACCUGUCUGUGUGCUCACACAGUACAUCUCUGCAGCACAUCCCAAAGCGACAAUUAUUAAAUUGUUUGUCAGAUGGAAUCAGUGUAUUCUGUGAAAUGUGACAGUUCUGUCACAGAAGUAAAAAUACUGCACCACGUUUAAAUCCUUGUGCACAUACACCCACACACAUGAUUUGCAUAGCUGUUAAAGCGUAAAAACGCCAGCAAAAAAAAAAAAAAAAAGUUUUAAAAAUAAAAAGGAAAAGAAGUAAUCAACUGGAUCAAAUUAUGAAGCACAUGGAGGAAAUCAAGCAACAAACCCAAUCACAUGCAUUUCUUCAGGUUUCUGAUAAAAACAUGUGGUAGAUUGAGUUCUGUGGAGCACACUUAUAAAUUAUAAAAUUAAAUCUCUGUUGACAUUUUCUGAAAUAUGUGUUCAAUAAUCUGGAAGGAUGUGGUGGGAAAAAAACUCACGUUAAGUAAGUAAAGAAAGGAGGGAAAAUCCCCCAGCUGUCUGCUUCCUGAUUAUUGUUCUGAAGGGUUAAUUUGUGAGCAGCAUUUCAGCCAUCUCGUUUCUUUUUUUUUCUACUUUUUUUUUUAAUGAACUAUCAUUUCCUGCUUCUGUUCAUGGAGAAUGGAGCAUGUCUGGAUGUCCUAUGUUCGUCCUGUGAACGCUAAAUUCCAAAGGCUUCGAGUCAGACGUGACCUUUGACAUGUCUGUGUGCCACCUUUAGGAUUCCCGGUUUCUUGUUCCUCAUGUUCAUGAAAUCCCGACACACACACACACAGGCACAGUCACAGGACGACACACGCGGGCUUACGCACGCACACGCACGCGUGCACCCCCACACACACAGUCAUGCAUGCCCUGACGUCCCAGGCAGAGGAAGAUGGAGAACAACGGCUCCCAUGACAGCCAAACGCUGGCCAGGUCCAACGGGUUACGACAUCGUCACAACAACAAGGUUAGGCAAUCACUACUGUUACCCAAUGCUCCACAGGGCCAUAGUUCACACCUAACAUAACAGCAGCAGCGCUGCAAGAAGAACACACACACAGGGUGGUGAGGCGGUGGUACAGAAACUCUGACCUCCUCACCGUCUCUGUGCACAAAACAAAACGCUCCGAGCGUCUCUUUACGAGCCGGUUGUGGGGAGUAAACCUGCAAAUCUGAUCAGAAGAUGGAAAACUGAGGAGCGGGUCAUUCGGCAAACGAGGGAGGAAAAUUGUGACUCGCGUGACAAAUGUUUGCAGUGACUUCACCGCUAAAACAUGGAGCCCACUCCUGGACGGAGAUCCCCCUGCCCAGGGUGUUUAUCACAUCCUCGCUUCAGAGCCAUCUGUGUCAGCCAACACUCACACACACACACACACACACAUAUGGACACAUCCUCUUGGGGUACCCAGAAACACAGCCACACUAAAAUCACCUUUAACCCCAUCUUCCUGCCCCAGCAUGCCCACACAGAGCCUGCUGACCGGGGCGUGGAGGUGGGUCACAGGGCGACCACACCUGGACCCUUCAGCUGGUGGAAAAGUGUUUCUUCAGUGACUCAGAGGUGACUAGAGACAAAUCCAGACAAGAGAACGGCAGUAACAGGCAGGUCAGAAAUAGAAGAGAGGGCAGAUGAUGACAUAUAAGGCACAUCUGAUUUUCCUAAAGUUAUAUUAGAAGGGACGCUUGCUGUAUGGAGGUUGUGUUAUUACCUAUGUGUGACAUUUACUGUAUUUUAGGUUGUAUUUACACAUUAUUAGUCCUACGUAACUAAGCCACAAGGUCACAGUGUGGGUUGAGGAAUAAAUCAAAAACUAUUCUAAAGUAUAACACCUUGGAAAACAAUUUAAAAUGCUUAAAUCGUUUACCUUUUCUCAUGUUAUAACCAGAAACGUCAGUGAAAUUUAUUUGGGAUCUUUUUUAUAUAGACCAGGGGUCUUACUUGUGGCUCCAGGCUCGGAAGAGGCUCUUUGGACUUUCCACGAUGGCUCCUAAUAACUUUGGCAAAAGUAAUAAAGAACCAACUAAUGUAUUUUAUAUAUAUAUAUAAUAAAAAUUCCGGUUUUAGUUGCUUUUCACAUUUUUUGAUGGAAUAAUUGGAUUAAAUAUACACAAAGAAAGGACUCCAACAAAUCAGUAAUAUUUUUCAGGUCUUUUUUUUUGUCAUUAGGUUGGAAGCUGCUUUUUCACAAUCAGCUUUAUAGGGCAAGCGCUCACAGCGCACAGAAAUACACAGAGACUUAGUAUUAGUACAUAAAUAAUUUCUCCAAAUCCCAAAGAAAGAAAGUGUUUCCACCCACUUUACUUCAAAAAAUUUGGCAUCUUUCUUUGAUUUAAAACCUAAAAAUAGAAAUAAAAUGAUGGUUAUUUAAACACAAAAAGACACUUUCUAUAGUAGAAAUUUAUCCAAAAAAGUAUUUUUUUCAAAAGAUCAUGUAACCAGUUUUCUUUCGCUGGACUGAAGGCAAAAUGGCUCUUUAGAUUACAAAGGUUGCACAGCCCUGAUAUGAAGUAGAACAGAAAAGAUGGUGUUCUGUCUUUUUUGUUGCAAAUUAAAAUCUCAAAAGUGUGGCUUGCCUUUGUGUCAGCUAAAGCUAAAAACUCCUCUUUGCAAAAUAGCUCAAACACAAGUCAGAUUGGCUGGAGAGCAUCUGUGAACAGGAUUUUUCAAGUCUUGUUACAGAUUUUGUGUAGAAGGUGUGAAUAUUUUGUUGCAAUGAGCACAAACGUGAAACUGUGGAGCUGCUUCGGUAUACAGUACGCUGCGGCUCUGUAUUGUGCCUAUGAGGCAUGUCACAUACACUGUUGUAUGCUGCUCACAUAACCACAUGGGUUACAGUACAAUGUACCUGGCAACAGCCACAACAUGCUCCAUAUCUUCUACUGUCACCACUGCUCCUGCUGCUUCAUACGUCAGAGCUUCAGCAGACGACAACAGAGCCAACAGAUGGGUAACAAGAUCAGGCACCCAUUAUUUUGUAAAGACGGUUGGAGCGAGACACAACCAAAACCCAGUUGAAAUAUGGGAACACAAGCAUCUGCUGAUUUCCUUUCGCAUCUGCUCAACGUACAGUGAAGCUGCAGUCUGAGUUUACGUGCCGCAGACGUUGUGGUUAGAAAGUCAGCAAGGAAAAGCAAAGUGAAAGUACUUGGUGUCUGCAUGUUGGUGUGCAUUGAGAUGAACUAGAUGAAAACGGCAGCAAGAUUUAAACAAGAUUGUAUCUGAAAAAUACGGUUAAAUAUUCAGAAACAGGACCACGCCUCCUCUUACUGUAUCUGGACCAUAACAUUACUGUGAGAGGAAGAUGUCUCAGCUUUCAGACUGGAGCCGAGUCCUUCCCUCCCUACGUCUUAACAAUGCAGCUCAUGCGCUUAACACUGCUCCCUCUGAGUGACUUGCUCCUUCCGAGGAAAAGAUGCUGAUGGGGAACAAUAUGCCUGUUUUCACCGAGGUGUGACUGAUACAAAGCUGGGAGCGAGCGGGGCCCGGAUGUCUGCCCAGCUGCCUUCUGAGUCAGGUCGUGUCUGGGGUGACUCGCCUCCAAAACACACACAAACACACACACCCACACACAACAUCAUGGCGACUGGUGAGACGUUACGGAGGAUCUUGGGUCUUUCUGUUGGACUCUGCUGAUUAAGAGUCUGAGGUCACGUUGUGUUCCCCCUGACAAAUUAGCCGUUCUAAAAAGGAAUCAGUGUCACACUGUUAUCUAAAAACGACAUGUAGGUCAUUUGUCAUCCGCUCAUCAUUUGCUGGAAACUUGGCCUGAACGUUCGCAGGAAUAACCUGUUGAGGGAGCAGCUUGUGUGUCCAAAAAAGAGAGAUACAAGGGUAGGUAUGGAUCAUUAUGAGAUUCUCAGCGUAGAAUAAUAUUGAGUCAAAAUACUGCAAAUUCAAAAUAUUGCAAUUACUCAGAAAAAUAACAUGAAUGUUUAACAAGAGCCAGAUGCUUUCAUUUAUAAUGUAUACGGAUUCCUCUUAUUCCUGCUGAAACAACAUAUUAAUUAUUACACCCAUAAUAAUUGUACAUUUACGUUUAUUUAAAAUGUGUCUGGUCACAUAAUAGCAAAAUUUAUAUGUUUCAUUAAGUAGCACAACCUAAUUCAGGGACGACAGACUUAUAUAUUUAAUUCCUUUAAUAUGUUCAAAAAGGCGUGCAGUGAAGUGGCCACUAAUUCAAUUUCACUCCUUCAAGUUACUUAUAUCUGUAAAAUAUAUAAUAUAAUGUAACAAUUUUAGUUCUAACUGAGGAAAUGAAAAUGAAGCCAUGUUACAAAAAUAAACACAUAAAUUAAAUACAGAAUUUUUCUGCAAAAACUCCAUGAACUACCAUUACAAUUCCUCCAAUCUAACGUCCAUCAGGUUUUUACUGACACACCACAUAUUGCAGUGCAAUUCUGAGAUUAUAGUGCAUCAUUUUCAGGCUGAUUUUUUUAUUAAAAGAUCACAAACUGUUAAAACUAAAAAGCCAAAUAGCUUUGACAUAAACUUGCUUUUCAGCUAGCGGCUAAAGCUAUGUGGCAGAUUUCUUAACUCAUUUUUUGUGUCACUGACUCUAGCUACUGGUCACAAAUGUUCAAACACAAUAAUUCACAUUUUUUUGCACAAAUUAUUGCUGCUUGCAUAAUGUAUUGCAUAAUUUAAAUAUGAAGUGCACUUUAUAAGGCUUGUAUCCGAUUGAAAAAUAUAUUUUAAAAUGUUCUUGAAUUAAAUCAUAUUGAUAACCGGGACAACCAACCCCCUCAGAGCAUUUGAUUCUUUCUUACUUACUGUUUGCUACAACUGACCGUAAAAAUGAAAAUCACACCAAAUUCUAAGCUUUAAUUUAAUUGUACUCCAGGCAUGCUUGGACAUCAGUUUGACCCAUUUGUCAAAAUGGAAAACUCCUUCUAGUUGUUCUCACUUAAAAAUCCCUAAGAGUGUCUGACCCCUCCGGAUCACAGAAUAACAUCUGAAUGCUUGAACAAUUAACUAUAUAAAAGUGACCCUCAUCAUAAAAUGUUAGCCAUCUAGGAACCAAGAUUUUUGAAUUAUUUGUCAUGUUUUUUUUGUUUUUUUUUUGCUAUAACAAGUUUUUGAUAAAGAUAAAAUGUACUUCCCGAAAAACAAAACUCUCUGCACAAGUUCCACUAGUGACAUUACAUUAGGCCCAAUCAGACUUAUAUCUGUUAAUUGUAUUUUUUUCCUCUUUUAUGUUUUGAAUAAAAUGUUCUCUUCAAAGAUGUUUGCCUGCACUUUGUACAGCUUCAUAAAAAUAUCAGAUCAGAACCAGAACAACCAAACAUGUCUCGUCCCUGAUGUUGUUCACUAAUUCCAGCUGCCCUUCGUGAUUCUUGUGCUUCCUGUGAUUCCAACACUCCAAAUGCACACAAAGCACAACUACCGUUUUAUUUUUUCAGCACACUUACAAAAAAUAUUGCGGUACCUCGCAGCAGAUAUAAACAGUUUGUCACUCAGUCGAGUUUUUAUUACGGGAAAUAUAUCCCAUGCAAUAUCGUCUUUAAUGGCUUCCGUUCGACCUUUCGGCCCGCAGGUAAACCUCCCACUGCUCCUCUGUGUCAGAGACUCAAAGAUCUGAGGCUGGGGUCUGCAGCCUGUGGUUCCAGAGUCGCCAGUGAUUCUUUGAACUUUCCACUAUGGCUCUUACUAACUUUGAAAUGUUCUGGUCUUCUUUUUAUCAGUGAUUAGAUUAGAAACCAUGUCCUUCUUUUAGUAUUUUGUCACAGAAUUUUUUGAUAAACAUCAAUAAUCCACAGAAGAAACAUUCUUUCUUUUUGCCAAAGCUUCCACCAAAAUAAAGUAUUAUUUUAAAACCUGAAAGAAGGAAAGUGGUGGCUCUUUAAAAAUGACAAAUUUCCAACAGAAGAUAUUUAUAAGUAAUUGUAAGUUUUUUUUGUUUUUUUGUUUUUGUUGUUGAAAAUGUCAUGUAACAUUUGUGGAUCUGAGCGAAUUUCAUUUAGCAGGACAGACGUCGUCUAAUCAGAAGCUGAAGUGGAUAUGACGGGAAAACGGACACCCCUGCUGAUCCCUGCAUUAAACAUAAUGACGACAUAACGGAGUGUGUUGCAGGCCGCCGAGGCUUCCUAACGCUGCGGCUGUCAUGUUCAUCACCUUAUUGGAGGUGUUUUGGUUAGCAGUGGAAGGACUGAUCAAUGCCAUCGUUGUCAGAGCGCUUUUCAGUGACAAAAUUUCUCCAUUUCUGCAGACUUAACGAGCAGGAAGACUUUACUCAUGAAAACAGGAGCGUAAAUGAAUAUACACAUUUUUCAGUUAUAUGUUUUUGGCUGAUUAAGACAACUAAUUGCCCCAGGUAAAUGGGGGGAAGGAGAGAAAGCCA